UACGGAGGGUGCAAGCACUGAUCGGAAUUACUGGGCGUAAAGGGCGCGUAGGCGGCAUUGAAAGUCAGAUGUGAAAUUCCGGGGCUCAACCCCGGAGCUGCAUUCGAAACUUCAAAGCUAGAGUACAGUUAGGGUAAACGGAAUUCCACGUGUAGCGGUGAAAUGCGUAGAUAUGUGGAAGAACACCGGUGGUGAAGACGGUUUACUGGGCUGAAACUGACGCUGAGGCGCGAAAGCGUGGGGAGCAAACAGG
rnacentral:rRNA from 1 species